CGCGUAGGCGGACGUUUAAGUCAGGGGUCAAAUCCCGGGGCUCAACCUCGGAACUGCCUUUGAUACUGGACGUCUAGAGUACGGGAGAGGUGUGUGGAACUCCGAGUGUAGAGGUGAAAUUCGUAGAUAUUCGGAAGAACACCAGUGGCGAAGGCGACACACUGGCCCGUUACUGACGCUGAGGCGCGAAAGCGUGGGGAGCAAACAGGAUUAGAUACCCUGGUAGUCCACGCCGUAAACGAUGAGUGCUAGUUGUCGGCAUGCAUGCAUGUCGGUGACGCAGCUAACGCAUUAAGCACUCCGCCUGGGGAGUACGGUCGCAAGAUUAAA
rnacentral:rRNA from 1 species